UUCAUAAUUCCUCUUAGAAAAAACUCAUAAUCCUUGUUUGAGCUUGAAGAACAAAAUGAAUGACGCCACUUUGCUCAUCUUGUUUAACAAUUUAUAUUAGAGGGCAAACUCCUUUCGCUAAGCAACGACGAUGACAAAAUGAAUGCUGUUAAUAAGAGUAGAAGCUGACAGAGCUAAGUGCGGGAACAUUUCCUCUCCAUCUCCCACAGCCAAAUAAAAAGCUUUAUUGGCACAACAAAUGCGAUGCCUGGGAGGCGAUCAGGAGAAAAGGGAGGCGUUGAAUGACACAAGAUUCAUAUGUAGAACAAAGUGGGACACCUGGAAAGAUACUUCUGCUGUGCCAAAUCACCAGUUAAUUGCCUGGCAUAGAGCUGCAACUAUCCUCUUACUUGUUUUGGCCUCUUGUCGAGCCAGUGAAGAAUGCUGCAUUUAACCUCAUGCUGACUUUCAUUUCAACAUGAAACUGUUGAGUUUAAGGCAGCCCUGUUCACUUUCUGUGAUAAAAACCUGGUCAAGGAUUGCUGUCACUGAGUAGAUUAGAUUAUGGCGGCGAUGAUGCAUUACCCUACUCUCAGUUUUAAUAUUUUAAACUAUCUGUAUCUGCUAGAUACAUAUCACUUUUUCCUGUUGCUUCCAGUCCUUCCAGUGGGUAGUUUAUCUGUCCAUGUUGUACAGUUGUUUUGAGUGACUAUAACAGUCCCCUUCUGUCACUUGAGAAAGAUUCAACACCAAAGGCUUUUUAACACUUUUGAUGUGUGGUUCUAUAUGCUAAUGAAAUGAUUGGGAUUUAUUUAUUUUUUUUUUUUUAUCUACUUGAUCUUAUUCCCUCUAGCUUAGUAUGAAAGAUAAGGACAACUGCCGUGAUGUGUUUUUCACGUUAAGAAAAGGUUGAAUGUGACCACCUCAGAGGUUCCAGAUCACACCAUGGCAAAGAGCUGGUUCCCGUACAGACUUGAGAAAACAGAGAUAAAUUACCGUAAUAGUUGGGCCAUUGCUUCCCUCAUACAUUAGACCAAUUAGUGGUCACCGCUAGGAACCUCUGCUUUGGUGGGUUGCUUUAAUAAAUAAUAAUAAAAAAAGUAAUUCAGACCAUAUGAUUUUGUUGAAUUAUCCCUCCUUUAAGUCACCACUGUUGUGAGUUAUUAUUACUGAGCAGUACAAAUGAGAACAGAACUGUCCUCUGCUGUCUUCAUUAUGAUUUAUUUCACUCUGGCUUCUGCGGGGAAAGGAUAAAAUUCUUGUGAGGCUAUAGAGAAUGGUAAUGACUAUUCAGAAGGCAUACAGAAUCUUUGAUCAGAUAUGGUGAAUAUGAAUAAUACAAUCAUUAAAAACUUUUUGUGGGAUUCAAGUGGAAUGGAGAUAGUUAAUUUCAUCAACACCGUGUGUUGCAAUGUGGAGAUGUCUAACUAUUUAAACAUUAUAUGCAUAUUGGAGAUUUAUGUCCAGCCCCAAAGUUACAUCAACGUUCUUUAUUACAUUGUCCAUUUCUCUAUUUCAGUCCCAUCUUUUUUUAGUUCAUGGUUCAUCAUUCAUGACAUUUAAUUGGGGAACUCAGAAUGAAUCAUAAAGGUCACAAAGCAAAAUUGAUCUUAAUUGGCUUGUUGUAAUCAAAAUGCUGUUAUGUGCUAAAUGAAUGCUCUAAUGUGAGCAUUAAAACAUUCAUUAGCCUGAGAGAAUGAAGGAUAAUUACCAAGGAUGCAAUUACAGGCAUGAGCACCAGUAAAAGCACAUUUAAAUCGCAAAUCUGGUGAAUACACAACAUUCCUUGUUGAUUUUAAGUCUUUGAAAGAUUUUUCACUGGUAGGAAGCCAUGAGUUUGUUCCUUAAAGUGGUGUUUACUUUUCAGUUAAUGUUUUUACAAGGAACACAGAUGCUGAAAAAGGGCCUCAUGGCCAGGGCUAAUGUCUUCCUUAAAGGACUAAUGGGCUUUUAAGUAUAGUAUUUCACUUCUAGCUUCACUGAAAUGUGAAUUUUCUAUUAUGGCACCGUGCACUCUGCGCUGACUGCUAAUGUGAAGAACAACAAAACACCGGAUCUUUUCUGACAAUUCAUUUUCAUAUAAUAUGUAUAAUAACUUUUUAAAAAUAACUAAGGAUUCUGAAUAAUUUCAGGGUUCCUUGGAGAAAAGCCAACUUCUUGUUGUGUGUCUCUUUUUACUUGUGACUCAGUUGUAAACACAAUAAAGUUAAAUAACAUACAAAAGUUAAAUGA